AUCACCAGGGAUCUUGUUCAAAUGCAGAUUCUGAUUCAGUGGGCCUGGGGUGGGGCCUGAGAUUCUGCCUUUCUGACAAGCUCCCAGGUGACGCUGU
rnacentral:pre_miRNA from 1 species